UGGAUCCAGACUUUGAUCAUGGCUCAGGAUGAACGCUAGCUACAGGCUUAACACAUGCAAGUCGAGGGGAAACGACAUCGAAAGCUUGCUUUUGAUGGGCGUCGACCGGCGCACGGGUGAGUAACGCGUAUCCAACCUGCCCAUCACUUGGGGAUAACCUUGCGAAAGUAAGACUAAUACCCAAUGACGUCUCUAGAAGACAUCUGAAAGAGAUUAAAGAUUUAUCGGUGAUGGAUGGGGAUGCGUCUGAUUAGCUUGUUGGCGGGGUAACGGCCCACCAAGGCAACGAUCAGUAGGGGUUCUGAGAGGAAGGUCCCCCACAUUGGAACUGAGACACGGUCCAAACUCCUACGGGAGGCAGCAGUGAGGAAUAUUGGUCAAUGGGCGAGAGCCUGAACCAGCCAAGUAGCGUGCAGGAUGACGGCCCUAUGGGUUGUAAACUGCUUUUAUAAGGGAAUAAAGUGAGUCUCGUGAGACUUUUUGCAUGUACCUUAUGAAUAAGGACCGGCUAAUUCCGUGCCAGCAGCCGCGGUAAUACGGAAGGUCCGGGCGUUAUCCGGAUUUAUUGGGUUUAAAGGGAGCGUAGGCCGGAGAUUAAGCGUGUUGUGAAAUGUAGACGCUCAACGUCUGCACUGCAGCGCGAACAGGUUUCCUUGAGUACGCACAAAGUGGGCGGAAUUCGUGGUGUAGCGGUGAAAUGCUUAGAUAUCACGAAGAACUCCGAUUGCGAAGGCAGCUCACUGGAGCGCAACUGACGCUGAAGCUCGAAAGUGCGGGUAUCGAACAGGAUUAGAUACCCUGGUAGUCCGCACGGUAAACGAUGGAUGCCCGCUGUUGGUCUGAAUAGGUCAGCGGCCAAGCGAAAGCAUUAAGCAUCCCACCUGGGGAGUACGCCGGCAACGGUGCAACUCAAAUGAAUUGACGGA
rnacentral:rRNA from 1 species